UCUAUGGGCCUAAUAUUUUGACACGUGGCAUUUUUAGGGUUUCAAACCCUAGGCAACUCUAGGGGUAGUUUUUGUUAUUCUUAUAGUUCUAAGGACUUAUUUUGUAAUUUUGAAAUAAUUUUUUACGGUUUUUCAUUCCUAAUAGUUAUACGGAUUUCUUUUGUAAUAGUUUUUUACGGUUUUUCAUCUGCCCAAAUCUACAAACAAAACUUCUCCCCAUAACUUCUCUCUCUCUUUCGUGCGAUUUCUGCAUCAUCAUCGAUCAUCUAAUUCCAAUCGCCGGGGGCAUUCCUUCAUCUUAAUACAGACAUCAAUUGUCACCUACGGAUCAUAAAUGGUUGAGAGACCUCAUUAAUGGCAUAUUUCGCCUGAACUGGUUUGGAGCAAAGAGUUGGAAAGAAUGAAAAUAUUAAUGAGGAAUACUGGAAUAACAGUAGCAACCUUUUUUGGAAGGCGCGGAAGCAUCAGUACUACAGGUAAAUAAUUUGUUUAUGAAUUGGAAAAAAAAAAACAGAAAUGA